UACGUAGGGUGCAAGCGUUGUCCGGAAUUAUUGGGCGUAAAGAGCUCGUAGGCGGUUUGUCGCGUCGGCUGUGAAAACUCGGGGCUCAACCCCGAGCCUGCAGUCGAUACGGGCAAACUCGAGUGCGGUAGGGGAGACUGGAAUUCCUGGUGUAGCGGUGAAAUGCGUAGAUAUCGGGAGGAACACCAGUGGCGAAGGCGAUCACCUGGGGUUGUUCUGACGCUGAGGAGCGAAAGCUAGGGGAGCAAACGGG
rnacentral:rRNA from 1 species